GAAUCUUUGAAGGUGCGUACGGACAAGUUAAGCUUCAACAGAUUGUGUAUCCGACAAAACUGUUCUACACUUUUUUCCUUAAAGGAUUGGCUAAUGAUUUGCCGUUGGAGCUCACCGGAACGCCGGUACCUCCGUCUAAGGACGCGGAGCCAGCACCGGAAGCUAAGGCGCUUGAGCCUAGUGGAGUUGUAAGCAACUUUACAAAUUAGUGAAUAAAAUUAGUCUUAUCUUUCUCUUGUCCAGUAUAAUAACUUUUUUCAUAACGAAUUUUUUAUAUACUCUUAUUCUUGUAAUCGAAUAAUAUGUAUGUAUAGUCUGAAUGAAGUAUGUUUGAGUUGAAAAAUACUUCUAAUAGAAUCUUUAAUUUUGAGUUUAGCCUUUUGGGGGACAAAAUAUCUUCUUCAUGUCACAUGUUUUUUUUCCUUGUUUUUUGAUAAAGGGUCAUGUCAUUUUGAGAAGAUUUGAACUGCUUCACGUGUAUCCGAUUUAAAGAAAACGUUCUCAAAGUCUAAGCUGCAUUUUAUAACAUCCAUAUACAAAUCUAUACACUUGAUUACCCAUUUUAUAAUAUCCAUAUACAAAUCUAAGCCUGAGGUGACUCUCGACAUGGCACAUCCUCCAACCAAACGAGUUAGCCCUUGCUAAUCCAAAUUUGCUAAAUUUUUAUAGACCUUCCACACACCAUCACAAAUACAUUUAUAGGAGUUAAUAAUGAAAAUACCUAGUUUAGAUGUGAUUUUGGUGCAUCGCGAUGGCGUUGGAGUUAGGGUUCGGUGUUGUCCAUACACAUUACCAAUAAGAAAAUUUCAUGGAAUGCUACCUUAUAUUAUCAAAUUCCAAGAAAACACAUCUUCAGAAAAGGCGUACCAUGGUCUUAACCUAAGAUUGAAGAAAGAUGAUCAUGUUGGUGGAUCAAAUAAAGCUUCCAUCCUCGCCCGAUUUCAUCAAGGAGGUGAUGUACACUCAUCUCAAGAACAAGAAAAUUAUACUAAGAAAAAAAAGCUGGAUAGGCACCAAGCUUUGGAAAAAAACCAACAGUUUAACCCGAAUAUUGUGGAUAAAUCAGACAACCAACUUUCGAGUUCCUUCUCCAGCCAAUUUAUAGGUUGCAAAGAUACCUUUACAUACAAAAGGGAUGGUGGGCCUAGUGCUAAUAUAUAUUUGGUACAAAAGACUAUUCUUUAAAUUGUGGAAUCUAAAGUCUAACUUUGAGUACUACCUGGAACUUUUAUGUUUAACCAAAAAAUGUUUUUACAUGUAAAAGUCAGACAUUAACAAAUAUUAGUUGAGAGAUGAUAUAUUUUCUAGUAAUAAUGAAAAUACCUAGUUUAGAUGUGAUUUUGGUCCAUCGCGAUGGCGUUGGAGAUGAAGCUCCCGCAUUUUCGCAUUGGUCAGACUAUCGAAGCGUGGUCCAAGCUAUCAAUUUAUCAUGGUCUGCCUGAAAUUUAUGGCAUACUACCAGAUAUCAAAAUCAAUGUUCUAUAUACUCUUCAUCAAGUUUUUCAUUCCAAGAGCAUCCAAUGUUGAGGGAGAUUCUCUUGCUAAGAUUAUCUUAUCAGUGUAUGCUGAAAACAUCGUUUAAUUAAUCUAAGUAUUGGUGUUUUUUAAAAAAAUGUGAUUUUGGUGCAUAAAUCUUUUCACUGGUAAUAAAAUAAUUUAAUCAAUUUUACAUACAUGUAUCCGGGCCAAAUAUACAGUUAGAUUCAUUACAUUUAGCACGUUUUUUAUCUUUAUUUUUUGUAGUUUAGGGACCGGCCAAAAGUAUUCAACUUAGAUCCAAGACCCAAAGCCUAGAUCACGUUCCGACCAUGGAAACCAAAUCCAAAUUCUCCCAAAGCAUCUUUAGUUAGAGACCCACUUUUGGAAAUUUACGCACGUGCUACUUCAUCAAUCAUCACUCAUCUAUAAAUAAACAGAGACAUUUCGUAGAACUCAAAUCACUCACCACAUAAAGUAAAAGUCCCAUCUCUUCAUCAAAUAGCCUUGAUUCAAUAAAGUCAAAGUUUCUUCUCUAGUCUUUAUUGUUUUGCGCAAUGGCUUCUUCUGCAAUGUCUCUCCAAUCCAUCUCUAUGACAACUCUCAACAAUCUCUCAUGUAAUCAACAAUUUCAUCGAAGCUCUCUUCUUGGUUUCUCUAAAUCCAUUCAGAAUCUUGGUAUCUCAUCUAACGGUCCAAAUUCUUCCUCUCCAUCAAGUUUCACUCCCAAGAAGAACCUCACUGCUUCUCGAGCUACUCUCUCCCAGAACGGGAAUAUCGAAAACCCUAGACCAAGUAAGUUAAUUGAUCCUUUUUUCGUCCUCAAAUUUCUUCUUCUAAAAGAAUUAUAUUGAAGCUCACGGAACAACAAAAUUAGGUCUUUUUAUAUCAUUUCAAACUUGAUUAAAUAUAUAAUUUCACAGACCAAACCACAAACCUAUUUAAUAAAUUUGCAAACGUGAUCUCAAAAUCAUGAACCCAACUCACAAAUUGAGUUUUUUUUUUCCAGGCAAAGUUCAAGAACUGAGUGUGUAUGAAAUCAACGAAUUAGAUCGACACAGCCCCAAGAUUCUUAAAAACGCCUUCAGCUUAAUGUUCGGUCUCGGAGAUCUUGUUCCAUUCACCAACAAACUCUACACCGGCGAUCUCAAGAAACGCGUGGGCAUCACGGCAGGUCUCUGCGUCGUGAUUGAACACGUCCCUGAGAAGAACGGUGAUAGAUUUGAAGCUACUUACAGCUUCUACUUCGGAGACUAUGGCCACUUGUCCGUACAAGGACCAUACUUGACUUACGAGGACUCGUUCCUCGCCAUCACUGGUGGAGCUGGAAUCUUUGAAGGUGCGUACGGACAGGUUAAGCUUCAACAGCUUGUGUAUCCGACAAAACUGUUCUACACUUUUUACCUUAAAGGGUUGGCUAAUGAUUUGCCGUUAGAGCUUACCGGAACGCCGGUACCACCGUCUAAGGACGUGGAGCCGGCGCCGGAAGCUAAGGCGCUUGAGCCUAGCGGAGUUAUAAGUAACUAUACCAACUA
rnacentral:lncRNA from 1 species